rnacentral:rRNA from 1 species
ACAGCAGCAGCCACGGUAAUACGGAGGGUGCAAGCGUUAAUCGGAAUUACUGGGCGUAAAGCGCACGCAGGCGGUCUGUCAAGUCAGAUGUGAAAUCCCCGGGCUUAACCUGGGAACUGCAUUUGAAACUGGCAGGCUAGAGUCUUGUAGAGGGGGGUAGAAUUCCAGGUGUAGCGGUGAAAUGCGUAGAGAUCUGGAGGAAUACCGGUGGCGAAGGCGGCCCCCUGGACAAAGACUGACGCUCAGGUGCGAAAGCGUGGGGAGCAAACAGGAUUAGAUACCCCAGUAGUUUCUGUCUCUUAUAC